UGUUGACGAUUAUCAUGUUGAGGCAGUGGAGGAUGAGCAGGAAGGUAACCCAGUUGGGGGUAAAGCGGGUUCAUUUUCCGCUGUUUCAGCAUGCGAAUUG
rnacentral:miRNA from 1 species